GAUGAAGAACGCAGCUAAAUGCGAUAAGUAAUGUGAAUUGCAGAAUUCAGUGAAUCAUCGAAUCUUUGAACGCACAUUGCGCCCGGUAGUAUUCUGCCGGGCAUGCCUGUUCGAGCGUCAUUUCAACCAUCAAGCCCCAGCGCUUGUGUUGGGGGCCUGCGGCUGCCGCAGCCCCCUAAAAGCAGUGGCGGGCUCGCUAUCACACCGAGUGCAGUAGUUCAUCUUCUCUCCGGUCUUGUGAGGCGGGUUCCGGCCGUGAAACACCCCACUACAUUCAAGGUUGACCUCGGAUCAGGUAGGGAUACCCGCUGAACUUAAGCAUAUCAAUAGGCGGAGGA
rnacentral:misc_RNA from 1 species